rnacentral:rRNA from 1 species
AGAGCGAACGCUGGCGGCAGGCUUAACACAUGCAAGUCGAGCGGGCGUAGCAAUACGUCAGCGGCAGACGGGUGAGUAACGCGUGGGAACAUACCUUUUGGUUCGGAACAACACAGGGAAACUUGUGCUAAUACCGAAUAAGCCCUUACGGGGAAAGAUUUAUCGCCGAAAGAUUGGCCCGCGUCUGAUUAGCUUGUUGGUGAGGUAACGGCUCACCAAGGCGACGAUCAGUAGCUGGUCUGAGAGGAUGAUCAGCCACAUUGGGACUGAGACACGGCCCAAAACUCCUACGGGAGGCAGCAGUGGGGAAUAUUGGACAAUGGGCGCAAGCCUGAUCCAGCCAUGCCGCGUGAGUGAUGAAGGCCCUAGGGUUGUAAAGCUCUUUUGUGCGGGAAGAUAAUGGACGGUACCGCGAAGAAUAAGCCCCGGCUAACUUCGUGCCAGCAGCCGC